UGAAAAAUGAAAAAGAUUCACUGGAAUUUACUGAAAUUUGAUAAUUGUGGCAUAUCUGAUUCAGUGUCAUUACUGAAACAUAGUUAUACAAAAAAAAAUCACAAUAUAUAAUUUGCUAAACCAGUGAAAGCAAGCAAGAAGUAACAAAAAUAGGUUCAGACACAUGAUAGAUAGCAUAAUGUUAUAUACUAAGGAUAGCUGCUGAAAAAACCAAAAAUAAUGAGAGUACGGAGCAUGGUGUGUGGUAGGAAAGACAGCUUAGAUUGUGCUUCUGCAAUACCCUUUACUGGGAGCAGCAAUCAGCUGGGAGGCUGGUCUGUAAAAUGAAUGAUGUGAGAUAAAGAGGUUGUUUUUGCUGGAGCCUUUUUUUACUGAUCCAAUGGACGUGAAAAUUUGCAAAUGGGGAAAGGCAGUGAGAAGUAGUGAACAGGACAGGAGAUCUGGUCUACAAGUUUCAGAAAGAAGGAGAUAGGUUUCUGCACUGGUAAGGCAGCAAGGGUUAAAAGAAAAAAGAAAGGAAAAGUUGACAAUGAUUGUGAGCAUCAGAAAACACUUAUUUAGUAUUUAUUUGGCUAUAAGUAGCAAUUUUAAAUUAUUUGUCUGAUAACACUGAUUUUAUGGGUGUCUUAUCAUCAUAGUAACUGCAUUUAAAAAACAAUAAAUUUGUUUAUCAUGUUGGUGUGACUUUGAUAUGUGAAUUUUGCACACAAGGGGGAAAAAAUAUUGCUUACAUUUGCAUAGGAGGUCUGAGUUGAGGCAGGAAGUGGUAAACAGCCUCAUCUCACCACUGAGCAGGCUGUGCAGGUUGCUCAUAGUUAAUCCAUCUCCAGAAGAGAUUUUCAUUCAUGUUUAUUUGAAUUUUAAACUUCAUGCUCCUGAAAGCAGUCUGCAUGACAGAACUAGUGGAAAUGCUCACAAAGACUGGGUUUAUGCAAAUAGUGUCUACAGGUUGAAACCAGGAAUCUUAAUACACAGUGUCAAGAAGCCAAGUAACUUUUGACUCCAGACUGCAUACAGGAAAAUAAAGUGUGUCAGGGAUCAUAUAAAGAAAUUCUAUAUUCAUGUAAAAAGCCAUCCCCCUGGAGAAAUAAUUCUGAUUUCUAGCUAAAGUAAUUUUAAAAAAAUGUUUACAACCUUUUUUAUUUCUGUUUAUUCAUCCAACCUCAGUAAAAUUUCAGUUUUCCAGGGGUAAGGAGUUGGAAGAAACUGAAAGUCCAAUCAACUAUCCAAACACCAUACAGAAUAAAAUGCUUUAUAGCGAUGAGAAAUCUUUCUCUGUAAAAAGAUCAAGCUGCAGCUUGAUGACCUAUUGAAGAAAAAAGAAAUAUUUCUUACCCUGGAACUCAGAUUAGUAUAAUCAAAUCAUAUUUAUUUUUUUUUUAGAAACCUUGACAUUUAAAAAAAAUUAAAAAUAUCGGGAAGAUUUAAAAUUGACAUAUGUGCAAAAAGUAAGAAACACAAGAACAUCAGGAGCAGUUUCAGCAAUGAUGAAGCUAAAAAUUGGUGAAGGGCAACAUUUCAAUACUCCAUACAAAUCAAUAUGCUCAUAUUUCUAACUGUAUAAUUAUAAAAUACAUUAUGUUCUAAAGUGAACACUUACUGAAAUUGAUGAGAGAAUUACCAAAGUAGUUUGACUCACUUAAAAGUGUGUUGGUGAUGAUCAUUACAGGGAUUUUGCUGGCAGGCAUUCCUUAUUACCAGAACAGUAAGACUGCAUUUUCUAGAAAGCUAUCAAGAAAGAGGUUUUACAUCUUCAGCUUUGAAAGAGGAUAUGAAUACCAGCACUAUGCAAGUAGCAGAGCUGUUUGACAAGUGUGAUACCAAAUUAAGGUUUUCACAGUUUCAAAAAUUUUAGCCACACUAAAAUAUUCCAUGCUUCGCUUUUGGUAUACAGCCUUUAUAAGGAAUUUUUGUUAAAGUUGGGUACAUUGAUUUUAGUAAGUUUCCUUAACAGACUGCUGAUUUUAACAAAUGUGCUGGCUUUGCCUGGCAAGGUUUUGGUAGUGGGGAAGCAACAAGGGUGGCUGCUGUGAAAAGCUGCCAGAAGCUUUCCCCAUGUCCAACAGAUCCACCUGCAGCCCAUGGAAGACCUCAUGGUGGAGCAGGGAGAUGUCCCAAGGCUUCUGUGACCCUGUGGAAAGCUUGCCCUGUUGCCCCAUGGAGAGACAAGCCCAUGCUGGAGCAGGUGUGCUGUCAGGAUUGAUGACCCUGCGGGGUCCCAUGUCAGACCAGUCUGUUCCUGAAAGGCUGCACCCUGUAGAAAGGACCCAUGCUGGAGAAGUUGAUGAAGAUCUGCAGCCUGUGGGAAGGACUCACACUGCAGAGGUUCAUGGAGGGUUGUUUGCUGUGGGAGGGACCCCACGCAGAAGCAGCACAGGAGUGUGAGGAGUGCUCCCCAUGAGGAGGAAGGAGAACCACAGACCACUGCCUAUGAUGAACUGACCACAGCCCCCAUUCCCUGACUGCCUGUCCUGCUGUGAGGAGAGUUAGAGAAUUAGAGAAUUUGGGAGUGAAGCUGAGCCUGGGAAGAAGGGAUGGAUGUGGGGAAGAUGUUUUAAAAUCUGGUUGUACCAAAUGACAGCAAUUACCGAGCUACUUUUGUUUCCUUACCUUGACCUACGUUUUAUUGUCUCUCCCCUGUCCAGUGGAGGAGGGCAGUGAUAGAGCAGCCUUGUGUUUCAGGAGGGAACUCCUUGCAGAAACCUGGGGAUGAAGAAGAGCAUCCAGCCGUUUUAAGUACAAGUGGGAAAAAAACAGCCUGAAGGAAGAGAUACGUUGGUGGAAUAUAUAAAGUUGCUGGGGAUUGGUGUGGAAGGGGCCCAAGGACUAUGUGAAGUGCCUCAGACAACAGGAAUAGAUAGAUCAAUUUCAUCACAACCAUGUCAAGAGAAAAUGGAAUAAUCUUCUGAAACAGGUUGGAACAUGAUUAUGAUCAGAUUCUUUGGCUCACUUGAAAUCAUCUCUGUGCACCUUCAGAAGAUAAUGUAUGGCAAAGAUGACUUUUUUCUUAAUACACAGCUGUGUGUUAAAUUAAACAUCUGUGGACCUCUGCUUUUUGGUUAUUUUCACAUUCAGUUUGAAUGUCCUUUUUUAAAAUAGCUUGGUAAUAUUAAUUAAAUUAUUAACUGUGCUUAUAUAACAUAACAUCUGAAACUAUUCACUUGUACAUUAAAAAUGUACUUGUGGGGGCAGCAGAUCAUUCAUUAACUGUAAUACUUGCAUAUACUCUCUGUUCCAUUAUUAGUGGUUGUCAUUUAGUGCCUCAGGUGGGAAGAGCACAGUGUCAGUGAUUUUACAUAUAUGUAAUUGAAAUACUGAAAA